rnacentral:ribozyme from 1 species
CCACGCAACUCCUAAAUGACACCCCUGUGUUCCGCAACCCGAACCGCUCUUCGAUGUACCAAUGGCUGCCCGCCGAGUUCCGUGUGGACCCCCAAGGGAAAGUGUCGAU